rnacentral:tRNA from 1 species
GGCGGGUAUAAGCCCCGUUCUUAUCAUACGA